CCUACGGGAGGCUGCAGUAGGGAAUCUUCCACAAUGGGCGAAAGCCUGAUGGAGCAACGCCGCGUGGGUGAAGAAGGUCUUCGGAUCGUAAAACCCUGUUGUUAGAGAAGAAAGUGCGUGAGAGUAACUGUUCACGUUUCGACGGUAUCUAACCAGAAAGCCACGGCUAACUACGUGCCAGCAGCCGCGGUAAUACGUAGGUGGCAAGCGUUAUCCGGAUUUAUUGGGCGUAAAGGGAACGCAGGCGGUCUUUUAAGUCUGAUGUGAAAGCCUUCGGCUUAACCGGAGUAGUGCAUUGGAAACUGGGAGACGUGAGUGCAGAAGAGGAGAGUGGAACUCCAUGUGUAGCGGGGAAAUGCGUAGAGAGAUGGAAGAACACCAGUGGCGAAAGCGGCUCUCUGGUCUGUAACUGACGCUGAGGUUCGAAAGCGUGGGUAGCAAACAGGAUUAGAUACCCCUGUAGUC
rnacentral:rRNA from 1 species